rnacentral:rRNA from 1 species
UACGGGGGGAGCAAGCGUUGUUCGGAUUUACUGGGCGUAAAGGGCGCGUAGGCGGUCGUGACAAGUCACUUGUGAAAUCUCCGGGCUUAACUCGGAACGGUCAAGUGAUACUGUCGGACUAGAGUACAGAAGGGGCAACUGGAAUUCUCGGUGUAGCGGUGAAAUGCGUAGAUAUUGGGAAGAACACCUGAGGCGAAGGCGGGUUGCUGGGCUGACACUGACGCUGAGACGCGAAAGCCAGGGGAGCGAACGGG